rnacentral:lncRNA from 1 species
AGAAGCUGUAACUUCUUUACGAGGGGUUGGCCGCGUUCUUGCCCAGCAGAACCUGAUAGCCAAUUCGACAUGCAAUAAAUUGCCUCGCAUUUGUCGACUGAAGAGAAGUCCAGGGCCAGAUUGCUGCAAUAAGAAAUGCGUUGACGUUAAGACAGAUCGCUUCAACUGUGGAAUGUGUGGCUACAAGUGCAAGUACACUGAAACAUGCUGCAAAGGAAAGUGUGUGAACCCAUCAUUUGAUAAAAGACAUUGUGGUGGAUGCAAUAAGAAGUGCAAGAAAGGGGAAUUUUGUGUUUAUGGGAUGUGUAGCUAUGCAUGAAUGCGUCACAAACUGUGUAAUUCUCUGAUAUAGAGUAUAUUUCCUUUCAUGUUUCUGCAAGACCGAGUCUCUUUCUCUAAGGAACACCAUGGUUCUGUUGGCUUAAUGUAUAUUUCACACCAUCAAAUUGUGGGAGUGCUUGUGAUUUUACUAAUCGAAGUGUAAAUAUGGAGAAUUGCCAAAAGCAUAACCUUGAAAAUCUCAUACUUGGGAUCAAACAAUGUGAAUAUUGCCAGCAUGCAUAUAUGUCUCGUUAUUUGUAUUUAAUUGCUUUAAUUAUUUACUUAACAAAUGAUAUUCUUAACAUUAAUUUGUGGGAACUCCUGCUGUUUUGGACAAAACGAAAUUUGUAUUCAAAAUCAAUUACUUUUUGCAGAAAAUGUAUGAAAUGACGGUUGUUCAACACUAAAAAUGUAUACCUAGUCAACUCUCACAUGUUUUUGUUGCCUUUCUAAAGCGACUGUGGGCUAACGUGAUUGAAACUCUAUUUUUAAAAUAUUUAAAAAAUAAUUUUUUUUAUUGUUUUAAUGUACUAUAUCAAAAAUAAUAUUUUAAAAAUAAAAAAAAUAUUAUUUUAAUUUAUUUUUAAACAAAAAUUAUUUUAAAAAACAAUAUUACUCUCAAAGAAUCCAUGAUCUACUUUCACUGUAAUUUAAAUUAAACUUUGAUCUUCCCACUUUGUUCCAACAUUUAUGGGUGAAAUUGUCAACCUAAUUAAAAAUAAAUAAUAGAAAAUUGAUACUCAAUGAAUAACAAAUUAAAUUUGCAUUUCCUGAGCCUGAUCAAUGGUUUCGCAUGUCAGGUAUUUGUUUAGACUCUUGGUAAUUUUUGUUUUUUUUUUUAAACUGAAUAUUUUUCCAACUUCAUAAUUUAUUUUAGUUUACUUUCUAUGAGUUAUUCUAAUCUUAUAACCUGGGUCAUGGAUUUGACAAAUUAUCUCGAGUUGAUUUUAAUUAUUUUUUUCUAAUCUUUUUUUUUCUAAUUUCUUUAUCAAUUUCAUCUUUCAAUAUUGAGUUUAUUGAGAUUAGGUUUCAUAAUUUAUUUUGAUUUGUUUUAGAUGAGGUUAUUAUGGUUUCAUAACCCAAGUCGUGGAUUUAGAAAGUUGACCCGGGUUGAUCCAAUACAUUGUUAUCUCAAUGUUUAAAAAAAAUGGAUAUCGACUUGAAUUUUUUUUAGUCAACUAUAUUUUUACCGAUCGUUCAAGUUAUUUUGGAUCUGUCGAGUUGACUGUGUCAUGUUGAGAGAAAUCUUAUAUAAUUUAAAUUUUUCUUCAUGAGAAAUAUUUGCUAAGUGUGGGUGUUUCUUUUUACAUUAAAAGAAAUUAAUGAAGAAUAAAAUAAAAUAAGGAUAUUGCAUAUUGCAUCAUACCUUAUACUCGUUUUUUAAUGGUAAAAGAUGUUUUUGAAUUAAUUUAUGCAUCUAGUAAGAUUAAGUUUUAUAUAUGAAUGAUCUUAAAGUAUAUCUUUUAUAUUGGUUUGAUAUAUUUUAAAAACAAAUCUUCUAAUUUUAAAAAAAAUUUACAUUCUUAACUAUAAAAUCAACUCCACACUUGAGUGUAGUCAGGACCUUGUUGUUCAAUAAAAAGGUAUUAUAUUCAAACCCAAAACUAUGGAUGCAAUAUAGUAAUAUACCAUCUAGAUACAGAAUGCUUGAAAUAGUACUAAAAAUGCUUGGAAGAACUUGCUGUCAAUUUUACUUUACAAUAAUGGGGGUACAGAAUCAAUAGGAGGCCAACUUUUCUUCACAUUUAAUCAACUUAUUUCUUUAAAGUUUCAAGGUAUUUAGUGAUUUCUAAGUAAUCUCCUGGAUCAAAGAUCACACAGAAAAAGUUGGCUGCAAAUUCAUUUUCCUAUAGGCAGCUUUCACACACAAAUUUAUCCAUAAGGCCCCAUCAGUAAGAUUUUCUUCCACCAACCUGGCUUCAUUUUAGUGGCCAUGAAGUUGCUAAAACUCUUCUUUGCUCUAUCUGCAACCAUAGCUACUGUUGCAGCUCUGCAUUCAGAUCAUUACAGCGAAAACUCAAACAUGCAAAGACAACUCUCACUGUGUGAAAUUCAAGAAGCUGUAACUUCUUUACGAGGGGUUGGCCGCGUUCUUGCCCAGCAGAACACGAUAGCCAAUUCGACAUGCAAUAAAUUGCCUCGCAUUUGUCGACUGAAGAGAAUUCCAGGGCCAGAUUGCUGCAAUGAGAAAUGUGUUGACGUUAAUACGUAUCGCUUCAACUGUGGAAUGUGAGGUACAAGUGCAAGUACACUGAAUCAUGCUGCAAAGGAAAGUGUGUGAACACAUGAUCAUUUGAUAAAAUUAAGACAUUGUGGUGGAUGCAAUAAGAAGUGCAAGAAAGGGAAAUUUUGUGUUUAUGGGAUGUGUAGCUAUGCAUGAUUGCUUCACAAACUGUAUCAUUUUCAGUUUAAUUUGAUGAAUAACCAUUGUAAUCCACAUGCACAAACGAGUGUGACUGGACUAUUAAGCUUCCGACUGGCAAGGAUAUAGGUAAAUGUUGUUGCCAUACUGAGCUGAGCGUAAUAGGUGGCUCGACAUCUGCAACUCCUUGAGUUUGCAGGUUUUACACAUUCCAACAAAGUUCUUUGUGGCCAUAACAAGAUUCAAGGUUUGCUUUCACUCAGUGUGGAGUGUCCAGAGGUCGUAGACUUCAGCGUGUGCCAAUAAAAAAUGGUUGAGGUCUAGUCCAUGUUAAUUCCUUGAUGCCUCCAUAUAUAAUUCCUGUUCUUG